rnacentral:rRNA from 1 species
CCUAACACAUGCAAGUCGAGCGGCAGCACGGGUACUUGUACCUGGUGGCGAGCGGCGGACGGGUGAGUAAUGCCUAGGAAUCUGCCUGGUAGUGGGGGAUAACGCUCGGAAACGGACGCUAAUACCGCAUACGUCCUACGGGAGAAAGCAGGGGACCUUCGGGCCUUGCGCUAUCAGAUGAGCCUAGGUCGGAUUAGCUAGUUGGUGAGGUAAUGGCUCACCAAGGCGACGAUCCGUAACUGGUCUGAGAGGAUGAUCAGUCACACUGGAACUGAGACACGGUCCAGACUCCUACGGGAGGCAGCAGUGGGGAAUAUUGGACAAUGGGCGAAAGCCUGAUCCAGCCAUGCCGCGUGUGUGAAGAAGGUCUUCGGAUUGUAAAGCACUUUAAGUUGGGAGGAAGGGCAUUAACCUAAUACGUUAGUGUUUUGACGUUACCGACAGAAUAAGCACCGGCUAACUCUGUGCCAGCAGCCGCGGUAAUACAGAGGGUGCAAGCGUUAAUCGGAAUUACUGGGCGUAAAGCGCGCGUAGGUGGUUCGUUAAGUUGGAUGUGAAAUCCCCGGGCUCAACCUGGGAACUGCAUUCAAAACUGACGAGCUAGAGUAUGGUAGAGGGUGGUGGAAUUUCCUGUGUAGCGGUGAAAUGCGUAGAUAUAGGAAGGAACACCAGUGGCGAAGGCGACCACCUGGACUGAUACUGACACUGAGGUGCGAAAGCGUGGGGAGCAAACAGGAUUAGAUACCCUGGUAGUCCACGCCGUAAACGAUGUCAACUAGCCGUUGGGAGCCUUGAGCUCUUAGUGGCGCAGCUAACGCAUUAAGUUGACCGCCUGGGGAGUACGGCCGCAAGGUUAA